CCUACGGGUGGCAGCAGUGAGGAAUAUUGGUCAAUGGACGCGAGCCUGAACCAGCCAAGUAGCGUGAGGGAUGACGGCCCUAUGGAUUGUAAACCUCUUUUGUCGGGGAAUAAAAGAUGCCACGCGUGGCGUUCUGUGUGUACCCGAAGAAAAAGCAUCGGCUAACUCCGUGCCAGCAGCCGCGGUAAUACGGAGGGUGCGAGCGUUACUCGGAUUUACUGGGCGUAAAGGGCGCGUAGGCGGGUUGUUAAGUCAGAUGUGAAAUCCUAUGGCUUAACCAUAGAACUGCAGUUGAAACUGGUAGUCUAGAGUAUGGGAGAGGUAGGUGGAAGUCGUGGUGUAGCGGUGAAAUCCGUAGAGAUCAAGAAGAAUUCUCAUUGCGAAGGCAGCCUGCUAGAACAUAACUGACGCUGAGGCGCGAAAGCGUGGGUAGCAAACAGGAUUAGAUACCCGAGUAGUC
rnacentral:rRNA from 1 species